rnacentral:rRNA from 1 species
UGUUAGCGGCGGACGGGUGAGUAACACGUGGGUAACCUACCUAUAAGACUGGGAUAACUCCGGGAAACCGGGGCUAAUACCGGAUAAUAUUUUGAACCGCAUGGUUCAAUAGUGAAAGACGGUUUCGGCUGUCACUUAUAGAUGGACCCGCGCCGUAUUAGCUAGUUGGUAAGGUAACGGCUUACCAAGGCAACGAUGCAUAGCCGACCUGAGAGGGUGAUCGGCCACACUGGAACUGAGACACGGUCCAG